rnacentral:rRNA from 1 species
GCUGGCGGCGUGGCAUUAGGCAUGCAAGUCGAACGCGAACGUUCCCUUCGGGGGGCUAGUAGAGUGGCGAAAGGGUGAGUAAUACAUGGUUAAUCUACCCCUGAGAUUGGGAUAACUGGCCGAAAGGCCAGCUAAUACCAAAUAGCCUUCCGGCUCCAUAAGUUGCCGGUAGUAAACGGUGGGGAUCCUUCGGGACCUGCUGCUCGGGGAGGAGACCAUGUCCCAUCAGCUUGUUGGCGAGGUAACGGCUCACCAAGGCAAUGACGGGUAGCUGGUCUGAGAGGAUGGUCAGCCACACUGGGACUGAGACACUGCCCAGACUCCUACGGGAGGCUGCAGUCGAGAAUCAUCCGCAAUGGGCGAAAGCCUGACGGUGCGACGCCGCGUGGAGGAUGAAGGCCUUCGGGUUGUAAACUCCUGUCACAGGUUAAGAAUCCCUUAUCAUUAAUAGUGGUGAGGUUGACGUAACCCUGAGAGGAAGCACUGGCUAACUCCGUGCCAGCAGCCGCGGUAAUACGGAGAGUGCAAGCGUUACUCGGAUUCACUAGGCUUAAAGGGCACGCAGGCGGCAUCGCAAGU